rnacentral:rRNA from 1 species
UACGUAGGGUGCGAGCGUUGUCCGGAAUUAUUGGGCGUAAAGGGCUCGUAGGCGGUUUGUCGCGUCGGGGGUGAAAUCCACUGGCUUAACUGGUGGCUUGCUUUCGAUACGGGCAGACUGGAGGUAUGCAGGGGAGAACGGAAUUCCUGGUGUAGCGGUGAAAUGCGCAGAUAUCAGGAGGAACACCAAUAGCGAAGGCAGCUCGCUGGGACGUUACUGACACUGAGGCGCGAAAGCGUGGGGAGCGAACAGG